rnacentral:tRNA from 1 species
AUCUCUGUGGCGUAGUGGGUCAGUGCAUCUGGCUGUUAACCAGAAGGUUGGUGGUUGGAGCCCAUCCAGAGACG